rnacentral:snRNA from 1 species
GUCCGACAUAUGCAAAAUUGGAUACGAUACAGAGAAGAUUAGGAUGGCCCCUGCGCAAGGAUGACACGCGUGAUCUUGAAACGUUUCCAUAUUAU